rnacentral:rRNA from 1 species
AGCAGCCGCGGUAAUUCCAGCUCCAAUAGCGUAUAUUAAAGUUGUUGCAGUUAAAAAGCUCGUAGUUGAAUUUCGGGAUCAAUACGUCGGUCGUGCCUCUGGUAUGUACUGGUGUUACUGAUUUCUCCCUUCUGAUGAACCAUGAUGUCAUUAAUUUGGUGUUGUGGGGAGUCAGGACUGUUACUUUGAAAAAAUUAGAGUGUUUAAAGCAGGCUUACGCUUGAAUACAUUAGCAUGGAAUAAUAAAAUAGGACGUUUGAUCUUAUUUUGUUGGUUUUUAGGAUUGAUGUAAUGAUUAAUAGGGAUAGUUGGGGGCAUUAGUAUUCAAUUGUCAGAGGUGAAAUUCUUGGAUUUAUUGAAGACUAACUACUGCGAAAGCAUUUGCCAAGGAUGUUUUCAUUAAUCAAGAACGAAAGUUAGGGGAUCGAAGACGAUCAGAUACCGUCGUAGUCUUAACCAUAAACUAUGCCGACUAGGGAUCGGAUGAUGUUAAUUUUUAAUGA